rnacentral:lncRNA from 1 species
AGCGGGUGUAGCUGAAAGAUAGUGAGUGAUGGGGAGAGAGCUCUGAGCAGAGACGGUGGGAGUCAAGGGCCGGGUGAGGAGAAAGCACGGAAAUGGGGAGAUCCAUUAGGAGGGAGUCACAGCGGUCAAGGUGACGGAUGUUGCUGGCUUGGACAACAGUGGUGUUCGCCAAGGGGAAAGAGUUGCACAGAUUUGCCCAAGAAACAGAUUUCCUGGGACAUCUCUCCUGGAAGACCGGGGCCUCAGAAGGUUGUUUGUGAGCCCUAUGCUCUGAUGACUCUCUCAAAGACCUCCAGCCUCCUGCCUUUGGCUAUGAGACCUGAUCGGGUUACUCAUCCUUAUGCCCAUACAUUAGCUAAACCCAUUAACCUGACACGACUCCACUGACGUCCUUUUCAACAAGCAGCCCAACAGCCGAUUUAACUGAUAUAGAUUUAUUGCUUCAUGCUAGAGAGGAGGGAGCCGGGCGGGAGGGGGCGGUAGCACCCCUCCUUCCCCAUGCUGAUGGGCAGCCAGCUAUCCUCUCCUCCAGCAAUUACUGACACUAAUUAGCAGCUUGCACGGAUCUGAGGGAAGAGACUGACACUGGCGCGGUCCCUGCCUACCACUCUCUGAGCACAGUCAGAGACUUCGGGAAGGCCCUCGUCAAGGGCUGUCUGUGAGGAACUUGGCAGCUCAGAAAUCGAGCAGAUUGGAAGGGGUAGAGGGAGGAUCUAGAAAAUGGCCUCAUAACCAGGGGCAGUUCUGUUUCCCGCUCCCAACCUUGGUCUGGCUGCCGCUCCCUCAGCUGAGGCCCCGGGCUUCCAUCAUGAGCCGCUCUCGUUGUGGGCAUGCAGCUGGCUGCAAAUCAUGCAAGCAUAUGGCUCAGAUUUGUGCAGCCAAGUCAUUAGCCCUCUGACCCAAUUAUCCGGAUUAUCACAAAGAACAAAGCCAUUGCGAUUCAGCCAUUGUGCUGUCCUUCACUCCAGGGAAGUGUUUUGAGAACUAGGUCUCUUUUCCAUCUUUUUCCAAACAGACCUAUUUUACAUGAUAUGGAGGCAUUUCCAAGUUUAGAAGACAGAGUUCAUGAAGGAGGAGGAAGCUCCUUGUGGGCAGCGGGCAGUUGGUUUCUUAAAGGGAAACAGCUGGAACAGCAGAAAAUGAACUGGGCUAGUCAAGGGCCGUGGGUUCUUGUCUUGGUUCUGGCUCCAGUGUGUUGUAUGACCUUGGACAAGUCCCAUUUCCAAUCUGACAUGGAAAGGCCAUGGCUGUCUUCGUAAAAUGAGUUUCCUUAAUGAUUUUUGACGUCUCCUCUAGUGAGCCACUCUCAGCUGAUCACACCCAGAGUCCCAGCAUGGUGGUGAAAAACUUAGUGAAAUAAGCUCAUAAAAUAACAUUAAUUUCUAUAAUAAGCCAUAUUUUUAUAGCAGAUUUCUGUGCAGGAAAUCAUGAAUGCAUUUUCUUUGCUUUAUUUUUAAUGUCCAAUUGAACUAAGAAAAAGAUCUGAUACCCUCAAAUCUGAAAAGUGAACAAAAUCGACUGUAUGAUUUCAUAUCCUUUGGUUAGAGAAGCAAAGAGAAAAAAAAGAAAGUAUGAAAUGUGAUUGCCCAUUGCAGCUAUCUACAGGGUAAUAAAUGUUGCUGAAUCUGUGUCAUUUAGCAAAAAAUACUGCAAAGAAAAAAAAUAUUGCAGGUUUAGUAUCUUAAUUAUGUAGAUUUUACAUUCAAUGAACUCCUGCCAAAAUAAAUUGCGUAUAUUAUCUAAAAAGCAAAUGUUAAUUAAAACUGUAUCUUGAUAGCUUGCGUGGUUCACAAGACAUUCUGAGCAUAUGAGAUUAUAUGGCACACAUUAGCUACAAUCAACUCAGACGGAAGAUUCGGGUCAUUUCAAUGAUUCAUGUGAAGCCAGGCAGCGUUGGCUGUUA